AGAGCGAACGCUGGCGGCAGGCCUAACACAUGCAAGUCGAGCGCCCCGCAAGGGGAGCGGCAGACGGGAGAGUAACACGUGGGAACGUACCCUUCAGUUCGGAACAACCCAGGGAAACUUGGGCUAAUACCGAAUACGUCCGUAAGGAGAAAGAUUUAUCGCUGAAGGAUCGGCCCGCGUCUGAUUAGCUUGUUGGUGAGGUAACGGCUCACCAAGGCGACGAUCAGUAGCUGGUCUGAGAGGAUGAUCAGCCUCACUGGGACUGAGACACGGCCCAGACUCCUACGGGAGGCAGCAGUGGGGAAUAUUGGACAAUGGGCGCAAGCCUGAUCCAGCCAUGCCGCGUGGGUGAUGAAGGCCCUAGGGUUGUAAAGCCCUUUGGCGGGGAAGAUAAUGACGGUACCGCAGAAGAAGCCCGGCUAACUUCGCGCCAGCAGCCGC
rnacentral:rRNA from 1 species